rnacentral:rRNA from 1 species
AUGGCUGUCGUCAGCUCGUGUCGUGAGAUGUUGGGUUAAGUCCCGCAACGAGCGCAACCCUUGUUAUUAGUUGCCAGCAUUAAGUUGGGCACUCUAAUGAGACUGCCGGUGACAAACCGGAGGAAGGUGGGGAUGACGUCAAGUCAUCAUGCCCCUUAUGAUCAGGGCUACACACGUGCUACAAUGGCGUAAACAAAGGGAAGCGAAGUGGUGACACGGAGCAAAUCCGAAAAACAACGUCUCAGUUCGGAUUGUAGUCUGCAACUCGACUACAUGAAGCUGGAAUCGCUAGUAAUCGCGAAUCAGAAUGUCGCGGUGAAUACGUUCCCGGGUCCUGUACACACCGCCCGUCACACCAUGGGAGUCGGAAAUGCCCGAAGUCAGUGACCCAACCGAGAGGAGGGAGCUGCCGAAGGUGGAGCCGGUAACUGGGGUGAAGUCGUAACAAGGUAGCCGUAUCGGAAGGUGCGGCUGGAUCACCUCCUU